GGUCAAGCUACAAAGGGCGCAUGGUGAAUGCCUUGGCAUCAGGAGCCGAUGAAGGACGUGAUAAGCUGCGAUAAGCUUCGGGUAGGCGCACAUAGCCUGAGAUCCGAAGAUCUCCGAAUGAGGAAACUCACAUGGGAAACCCCAUGUAUCAUUAAGUGAAUACAUAGCUUAAUGAAGGUAACCCAGGGAACUGAAACAUCUAAGUACCUGGAGGAAGAGAAAGAAAAAUCGAUUUUCUUAGUAGCGGCGAGCGAAAGGGAAAGAGCCCAAACCGGAAACUUGUUUCCGGGGUUGUGGACAUAGCAUAAAAGUGGAGGCUAUUGUAACUGAAGAGAACUGGAAAGUUCCACCGUAGAAGGUAAUAGUCCUGUAAGUGAAACGAGAAGACCACGAGUUAUGAUCCAGAGUACCACGAGACACGUGAAACCUUGUGGGAAGCAGGGAGGACCACCUUCCAAGGCUAAAUACUACCUGAUGACCGAUAGUGAAGCAGUACCGUGAGGGAAAGGUGAAAAGAACCCCGGGAGGGGAGUGAAAUAGAACCUGAAACCGUGUGCCUACAACCGCUCAGAGCCCCUUAUGAGGGUGAUGAGGUGCUUUUUGUAGAACGAGCCAACGAGUUACGGUAUGUAGCAAGGUUAAGUACUUAAGGUACGGAGCCGAAGGGAAACCGAGUCUGAAUAGGGCGACUAGUUGCAUUCCGUAGACCCGAAACCGGGUGACCUAUCCAUGGCCAGGUUGAAGCGAGGGUAAAACCUCGUGGAGGACCGAACCACGUUGCUGUUGAAAAAGCAUGGGAUGAGCUGUGGAUAGCGGAGAAAUUCCAAUCGAACCCGGAGAUAGCUGGUUCUCUCCGAAAUAGCUUUAGGGCUAGCGUCGAGUAUGAGUAGUGGAGGUAGAGCACUGAAUGGGCUAGGGGGCAUAGCGCUUACCGAACCUUAUCAAACUCCGAAUGCCACAUACUUUGAGCUCGGCAGUCAGACUACGAAUGAUAAGAUCCGUGGUCAAAAGGGAAACAGCCCAGAUCGUCAGCUAAGGUCCCAAAGUGUAAGUUAAGUGGGAAAGGAUGUGAGAUUUCUAAGACAACUAGGAUGUUGGCUUAGAAGCAGCCAUUCAUUAAAAGAGUGCGUAAUAGCUCACUAGUCGAGAGAUCUUGCGCCGAAAAUGUAACGGGGCUAAACUUACCACCGAAGCUACGGGCUUGAACUUAGUUCAAGCGGUAGGAGAGCGUCGUAACCGGGCUGAAGUCGUACCGUAAGGAGCGGUGGACUGGUUACGAGUGAGAAUGUUGGCAUCAGUAGCGAGAUGUGGGUGAGAAUCCCACAGGCCGAAAACCUAAGGUUUCCUCAGGAAGGUUCGUCCGCUGAGGGUUAGUCGGGACCUAAGCCGAGGCCGAAAGGCGUAGGUGAUGGACAACUGGUUGAUAUUCCAGUACCACUACCAUCGUUAUUAUCGAUGGCGUGACGCAGGAGGAUAGUGUGUGCUAGCUAUUGGAUGCUAGUCUAAGCGUUUAGGCAGUGAGAGUAGGCAAAUCCGCUCUCAUAAUGCUGAGGCGUGAUGGGGAAGGUUCCACGGAACCGAAGUACAUGAUUCCACGCUGCCAAGAAAAGCGUCUAGAGAGAGAAGUAGUGCCCGUACCGCAAACCGACACAGGUAGGUGAGGAGAGAAUCCUAAGGCCGGCGGAAGAAUUACAGUUAAGGAACUCGGCAAAUUGACCCCGUAAGUUCGCGAGAAGGGGUGCCUACGAGAGUAGGCCGCAGAGAAUAGGCCCAAGCAACUGUUUAGCAAAAACACAGGUCUCUGCUAAAGCGUAAGCUGAUGUAUAGGGGCUGACGCCUGCCCGGUGCUGGAAGGUUAAGGGGAACACUUAGCGCAAGCGAAGGUGUGAACUUAAGCCCCAGUAAACGGCGGCCGUAACUAUAACGGUCCUAAGGUAGCGAAAUUCCUUGUCAGGUAAGUUCUGACCCGCACGAAUGGCGUAAUGACUUGGGCACUGUCUCAACUGUAAAUCCGGCGAAGUUGUAGUGCGAGUGAAGAUGCUCGCUACCCGCGAUUGGACGGAAAGACCCCGUAGAGCUUUACUGUAGCUUAGCAUUGAGUUUUGGUAUUGUCUGUACAGGAUAGGUGGGAGACUAGGAAACCAGGGCGUCAGCCUUGGUGGAGUCAACCUUGGGAUACCACCCUGACAGUACUGAAAUUCUAACUGGCGGCCAUGAAUCUGGUCACAGGACAUUGUUAGGUGGGCAGUUUGACUGGGGCGGUCGCCUCCUAAAAAGUAACGGAGGCGCCCAAAGGUUCCCUCAGAACGGUCGGAAAUCGUUCGAAGAGUGCAAAGGCAGAAGGGAGCCUGACUGCGACACCCACAAGUGGAGCAGGGACGAAAGUCGGGCUUAGUGAUCCGGUGGUACCUCGUGGGAGGGCCAUCGCUCAACGGAUAAAAGCUACCUCGGGGAUAACAGGCUGAUCUCCCCCAAGAGUCCACAUCGACGGGGAGGUUUGGCACCUCGAUGUCGGCUCGUCGCAUCCUGGGGCUGAAGUAGGUCCCAAGGGUUGGGCUGUUCGCCCAUUAAAGCGGCACGCGAGCUGGGUUCAGAACGUCGUGAGACAGUUCGGUCCCUAUCCGUCGCGGGCGUAGGAAAUUUGAGAGGAGCUGUCCUUAGUACGAGAGGACCGGGAUGGACUGACCUCUGGUGUACCAGUUGUUCCGCCAGGAGCACAGCUGGGUAGCUAAGUCGGGAAUGGAUAAACGCUGAAAGCAUCUAAGCGUGAAGCCAACCUCAAGAUGAGAUUUCCCAUAGCAUAAGCUAGUAAGAUCCCUUGAAGAACACAAGGUUGAUAGGUCGGGGGUGUAAGCAUGGUAACAUGUUCAGCUGACCGAUACUAAUAGAUCGAGGGCUUGACCAA
rnacentral:rRNA from 1 species